UUCCAGCGGUUUCAGCGGUUGACAGGCCUGCAUCCGCAUGGAUUAGUAGGUCGCCGAUUUUUGCUGCUUUUGAUAGCCCACUAUUAUUUUUGCCACCGCGUAUCAUUUGGCCUCCAACGGUUUCCUUUCAUUGAAUUUCAGCUGCAUUUGGAUCCCGAGUCCUCUGAAGCGGAAAAGGAUAUGAAUACUUGAAUUUAUCCCAGAGUUGGUACGCCGCAGCGGGCGAGUUUUGAUACCUGCAUUCGACUGUAGGGGCAUGGGAAAUUCACGAUAGAGCAAAGCCCAUAUGGAUGGUAUAUCUCCGACCCGGGGAAAUCCAAACAGAGAAUUGAAAAUGGAAGAAGGAGUAUCG
rnacentral:sRNA from 1 species